rnacentral:misc_RNA from 1 species
AACGCACAUUGCGCCCUCUGGUAUUCCGGAGGGCAUGCCUGUUCGAGCGUCAUUUCAACCCUCAAGCCUAGCUUGGUGUUGGGUCUCGCGCCGGCGCGCCGCCUGUGCGCGCGCCCGGCGGACCCUAAAAUCAGUGGCGGUGCCCAUCCCGGCUCCACGCGCAGUAGUGUUGCUCUCGCGUCCGGAACGUCGGGGAGGGCUGCUGGCCAAGCGAACCCCCCAUUUUUCUCAGGUUGACCUCGGAUCAGGUAGGGAUACCCGCUGAACUUAA